rnacentral:rRNA from 1 species
AUUGAACGCUGGCGGCAGGCCUAACACAUGCAAGUCGAACGAGUGGCGGACGGGUGAGUAAUGUCUGGGAAACUGCCUGAUGGAGGGGGAUAACUACUGGAAACGGUCGCUAAUACCGCAUACCAUCAGAUGUGCCCAGGUGGGAUUAGCUUGUUGGGGGGGUAACGGCUCACCAAGGCGACGAUCCCUAGCUGGUCUGAGAGGAUGACCAGCAACACUGGAACUGAGACACGGUGCAGACUCCUACGUGAGGCAGCAGGAGGGAAUCUUGCGCAAUGGGCGCAAGCCUGAUGCAGCCAUGCCGCGUGGAUGAAGAAGGCUUUCGGGUUGUAAAGUACUGUCAUCGGGGAGGCGUUAUCCGCAGAAGAAGCAACGGCUAACUCCGUGCCAGCAGCCGCGGUAAUUC